ensembl:snRNA U6 U6 spliceosomal RNA
GUGCUCUCUUGGGAUAGCACAUAUACUAAAAUCGGAAUGCUACAAGAUUAGUAUGGCCCCUACACAAGAAUGACAUGCAAAUUCAUGAAGCGUUCCAUAUUUAU